CGCCAGACUCCUACGGGAGGCAGCAGUGAGGAAUAUUGGUCAAUGGCCGCAGGGCUGAACCAGCCAAGUCGCGUGAGGGAUGACGGUCCUAUGGAUUGUAAACCUCUUUUGUCAGGGAGCAAAGGGCGCCACGUGUGGCGCUUUGCGAGUACCUGAAGAAAAAGCAUCGGCUAACUCCGUGCCAGCAGCCGCGGUAAUACGGAGGAUGCGAGCGUUAUCCGGAUUUAUUGGGUUUAAAGGGUGCGCAGGCGGAAUGUCAAGUCAGCGGUAAAAUUUCGGGGCUCAACCCCGUCGUGCCGUUGAAACUGCAUCCCUUGAGUGCGCGAGAAGUAUGCGGAAUGCGUGGUGUAGCGGUGAAAUGCUUAGAUAUUGCGCAGAACUCCGAUUGCGAAGGCAGCAUACCGGCGGCGAUCUGACGCUGAGGCACGAAAGCGUGGGUAUCGAACAGGAUUAGAUACCCCUGUA
rnacentral:rRNA from 1 species